GGGCUUUGCUGGAUCCUGGUCAGAGGAGGCUCUACAAAGAUGUGAUGCUGGAGACCUGCAGGAACCUGGCCUCACUGGGUGAAAACUGGAAAUGCCCUGGCAUUGAACAUCAGCACAAGAACGCGGGGACAUGUACGAGGUAGUGGACACAAUAUUUUAUUUUCUGGCAGAGAUUCCUCAGUGUAAAGCUGUUGAAUGAAGACACCAUCAUCUGACUUACUUUCCUCUUUUGCUCAUUUUUGCUCACCUUAGCUCUUGGCGGGAAUUGGAUACAGAGCUUUGACUAUGAUAAAAGCUAGAGUAGCUAUUUUGUGAUAGAUUGUGAUGUAUCAAUGUGGGUAAGCCUGGGAACAUUUCCCAGAAUCUUUUCCCCAUAUCGUCCCAGAUUAGAAAUGGUAAAGAUGGCAAACUUUGUAUGAGAUCAGAAAGGCAGAAAUGAACAUGUCAUACUUAGUUUUGUGAACUAUUGUACAGUAAAAUGUAUGCAUCAGAGCUUGGUAAGCAUCAGUUUCUAGCAGAUUUUCCUGCCUUCUGGGCCCAUUAAUCAGGAGUGUCUACAAACCAAAAAUCAGUUAUUUGACUUCAUCAGAGUUGGUGUCAUCCACAGGCAUCUCCCAUAGCUCUCCUGUCAUGUAUCCACUUCCAUUCUCACAUAUCCAUAAUUUAGAUCUUUCCUGCAAGCUCCAAUACAUCCACCCAGGCCACUGAUUUGUUUGUUUUUUGGUUGGUGACCUUUCCUGACACUCCCUCAUUUCUCCAAUUUUACCGUAUUUGUGUUAGGUUGGAUUUGUGUUGUAAACAUUUUCCUGUAAUAUGUCCAGUGGCCCUGUGUACCUGACUCCACAGGAACUUCUGAAAUUUAUAAUUGUGUCAGAAAACACAAAGGACUUUGUUUCCUGAUUGCAUUGUCAAGUGGUUGCAUUUACCCUGUACUUUUUGUUUCUGGACAAUUCUAUAUGAGAAAUAGGUACCUUAUAAAUACAUGAAGCAGAUUGUAGGAGUUUUCUGUUACAGCUGAAUGCGAUCUCUAAAUGAUAAUAUGUGUUCACUUACAAUUUUUAUGUUUGCAAAAUAAUUUGUGCUCUUUGGUCAAACAAUUUUUUGGUACUUAAUUCUUGGAAGAAUCCUAGUAAAACUGAUUUUAUAUCUUCUGUAUAUUUAAAACAUUAUCUUUCAUGUACUGAAAGGAUAUGUUACAGUAUUCCAAUACAAUUAUGGACUGUCAAAACAAUACUAUAAAUUUGUCUUUUUAAACAUACAUUCUGAGGCCCUAAGACACAUUUUAGUUUUUUGGGUUUUUAAAAAAGGAUUAUUUAUUUAUUUGUCAGGGGGAGAGAGAGAGAGAGAGAGAGAGAGGGAUCAAGAAGGGGGAGGGGCAGGAAGAGGGCCAGGGAGAAGCAGGCCUCCCACUGAGCAAGGAGCCUGAUGCAGACUUGAUUCCAGGACUUUGGGAUCAUGACCUGAGCCGAAGGCAGACGCUAAACCAACUGAGCCACCCAGGCAUCCCCAGAUUUUAGUUUUUUUAUGUGAAUUUUCAUAUUCUUAUAAUGGUAAGCAAUUUCCCCUUUAAAACAACUUAAUCCAUUUGUAAGGGUAAAAACUUAUAUAUUGGCUAGGUCAAUGCCCACCAGCCAGAACUCAUGAGAAACAUGUGCAGUUGAACAAAAUUCCUGCAAUAGGUGACUGCUUAGCAUGAGGAACAAUGGAACAUCUCAGAAAUUGCAUAGUAGAAAGAACCUACAGGAAGUGGAUUUAUUUCAGUUGAUUUGGGGGAGGGCAUCACAAAAGUAGACUUUGCACUGGGUUGGACACUGUCAGAAAGUGUAGAGUAGAAUGUUAAUUCAGCAGGCUUUGGUUACUCAAAUUCUGCACUUUACAAAGAAAACACUAGCCCUUGACCAGCUCCUGGGAGAUAAAUUCUGAGUCCUUGGAACAUUCUGCCUAAUAAGAGUGUUUUGUAAGUCUACAUUCUUGGACCACACUGUAUCAGUUUGGGUAGUUUAUGCUAACAAUGUGACUUAGAGUGAAUGCCUGCUUUUGUAUGCAUGAGGCUACAGAUGAUGCUGUACCAGUAUGACCUCUGAGGAAGGAAGCUGGAGGUUAAGUAGCUAAGCUCAGUUAUGUGGAUGUUACAUGGCUACAUGACUGACCCCCAGUAAAAACCCUGGAGACCAAGGUUGGGUGAGCUCUGAUUGUCGACACUUCACAUGUGUAGUCAUACAUCAUUGCUGAGAGUGCUGUCUAUGUCACUACUGAGAGAGGACAACUGAAAGUUUGCACCUGAUUUCUCCUAGGCUUCAUUCACCCUAUGUGCUAUUUCCCUUUGCUUAUUUUAAUCUAUCCUUUUACCAUAAUUAUGGUAUAAUGGCUCUUCUGAAUCCUGUUGGUCCUUUGAGAGAAUCAUGAAGCCUGAGAAAGCUCUUGGGGACUUUUGAUACAAGAAGUGAAUGUAAUUGUAUGAUUGAGAAUUUCAACAGUCACCAGAGUCCACAUGUAUCUGGGCUAGAGAAUGUGGCUGUUUAUAAUUCUUUUCAAAGAAUUGUAGGGGCGCCUGGGUGGCUCAGUCAGUAAAGUGUCUGCCUUCGGCUCAGGUCAUGAUUGCAGGGUCCUGGGACUGAGCCCCAUGUUGGGCUCCCUGCUCAGCGGGGAGUCUGCUUCUCCCUCUUCCUCUGCCUGCUGCUCCUCCCUGCUUGUACUUUCUCUCUUUCUCUGUUAAAUAAAUAAAAUCUAAAAAAAAAAAAAAAUUGUAAAUUGCAUUAUAUGUUUGGCAUUAUCAUUUUGAUGCUAUUAUAGUCCAAAUAACAGAACUUGUAUCCUGGAAAUCAUAAAAGUUGUCCCUAGUUUGAAAAAGGGAUAGGAUCAUCUGCAUAGUUUUACCCCAGCAUAUGUCCUUUCCUAUAAGCAGAAUGAAAUCUAUGCAAGCUUUUGGUGAUCCAGUAGAUGCAAGGAAAAGAACUGUAGCUGGCGAGGUGAUUUUUCCUAAGAAAAAUGAAGGUGAGCGGCAAAUACAGUAUGUCCUUUUGAGUACUAUCUCCCCCCGACCCCCGCUCUCUCUCACUCUCUCCUAAAUAAAUAAAGUCUUAAAAAAAAAAAAAAAAAAAAACAAA